CAGUGGAUCACUCGGCUCACGGGUCGAUGAAGAACGCAGCCAGCUGCGAGACUGGUGUGAAUUGCAGGACACAUUGAGCACUGAUUUUUCGAACGCGCAUUGCGGCCU
rnacentral:rRNA from 1 species